GAGUUUGAUCCUGGCUCAGGAUGAACGCUAGCGGCAGGCUUAACACAUGCAAGUCGAGGGGUAACAUUGUGCUUGCACAGAUGACGACCGGCGCACGGGUGCGUAACGCGUAUAGAACCUACCUUUUACAGAGGAAUAGCCUUUAGAAAUGAAGAUUAAUGCCUCAUAGUAUUGUAGACUGGCAUCAGUUUAUAAUUAAAGAUUUAUCGGUAAAAGAUGGCUAUGCGUCCUAUUAGUUAGUUGGUAAGGUAACGGCUUACCAAGACAGCGAUAGGUAGGGGUCCUGAGAGGGAGAUCCCCCACACUGGUACUGAGACACGGACCAGACUCCUACGGGAGGCAGCAGUGAGGAAUAUUGGACAAUGGAGGAGACUCUGAUCCAGCCAUGCCGCGUGUAGGAAGAAUGCCCUAUGGGUUGUAAACUACUUUUAUACAGGAAGAAACACUGGUAUGUAUACCAGCUUGACGGUACUGUAAGAAUAAGGACCGGCUAACUCCGUGCCAGCAGCCGCGGUAAUACGGAGGGUCCGAGCGUUAUCCGGAAUCAUUGGGUUUAAAGGGUCCGCAGGCGGUCGAUUAAGUCAGAGGUGAAAUCCCAUAGCUCAACUAUGGAACUGCCUUUGAUACUGGUUGACUUGAGUCAUAUGGAAGUAGAUAGAAUGUGUAGUGUAGCGGUGAAAUGCAUAGAUAUUACACAGAAUACCGAUUGCGAAGGCAGUCUACUACGUAUGUACUGACGCUGAGGGACGAAAGCGUGGGGAGCGAACAGGAUUAGAUACCCUGGUAGUCCACGCCGUAAACGAUGGAUACUAGUUGUUGGGAUUUAUCUCAGUGACUAAGCGAAAGUGAUAAGUAUCCCACCCUGGGGGAGUACGGUC
rnacentral:rRNA from 1 species